AGACAGGAGGCAUCUCCUCAUCGGCUCAGUUCACAUUCCUCCAGGGGCUCAAAGGGGACCCAGUCCCUGUCUUGGGACACCAAGUCAGGCAGACUCCAGGAGAGAGGAAGGAAGAUGAUUCCCGCGCUCAGGUGGGCGGGUCCUGCUCCCUCUGUUGAAGACCUGAAGACAAAGAUUGACCCUCACCCUUCACCUCCCACCUCUUCCUCACCUUGGAAAAGAAAAACAUUCCUGAGAGGGGGGAUUUGUCAGCAGAAGGCUUUGGGACUAGAACUGCAGCAUCAGCUCUUCCUGGUUCCCCAGCGCCCAGGCCUACCC
rnacentral:lncRNA from 1 species